GACGAACGCUGGCGGCAUGCCUAAUACAUGCAAGUCGAACGAGCUUCCGUUGAAUGACGUGCUUGCACUGAUUCAACAAUGAAGCGAGUGGCGAACUGGUGAGUAACACGUGGGUAACUUGCCCAGAAGCAGGGGAUAACACUUGGAAACAGGUGCUAAUACCGUAUAACAACAGAAACCGCAUGGUUUCUGUUUGAAAGGUGGUUUCGGCUAUCACUUCUGGAUGGACCCGCGGCGUAUUAGUUAGUUGGUGAGGUAAAGGCCCACCAAGACAAUGAUACGUAGCCGACCUGAGAGGGUAAUCGGCCACAUUGGGACUGAGACACGGCCCAAACUCCUACGGGAGGCAGCAGUAGGGAAUCUUCCACAAUGGACGAAAGUCUGAUGGAGCAAUGCCGCGUGAGUGAAGAAGGGUUUCGGCUCGUAAAACUCUGUUGUUAAAGAAGAACACUCUUGAGAGUAACUGUUCAGGAGUUGACGGUAUUUAACCAGAAAGCCACGGCUAACUACGUG
rnacentral:rRNA from 1 species